AACCAUAGAAACCUGCGGAGUACCUGCGGAGGGAUCAUUACACAAUACAAUAUGAAGGCUGUCCGCAGCUGGAGUAUUUUAUUACCCUUGUCUUUUGCGCACUUGUUGUUUCCUGGGCGGGUUCGCUCGCCACCAGGACCACCGAAUAAACCUUUUUUAUGCAGUUGCAAUCAGCGUCAGUACAAACAAUGUAAAUCAUUUACAACUUUUAACAAUGGAUCUCAGAUCGGAAGAGCACAC
rnacentral:misc_RNA from 1 species